rnacentral:lncRNA from 1 species
CAAGAAUGUCUCUCUUUGGACAAUGUCCUAGCCUAUCCCUGAGCGGCAUAGAGAGGAGGAGAGAGAGGACGGCAGCUGUGGCGGGUUUGACACCUGCGCAUCACGCCACGGACCGAGGCAUGAUCUCACUAAGCCGCUUAAUAAUGCCUCACCAUAUGGAAGCAGCUGAAGAAAAUAACAUAUCCCAGAUGGUCGACGAACAGGGACACCUACUCUGCCAACACCACGAUCAGCUGGCACAACUGGGUGCAGCUAUGGAUGAGGUCCUCUGCAUCCUCCACCGCCUCGACACCACCCAAGAGGAUUCGCCACCUACCACGAGUCGUCCCAGCGAGCCAGCCCCCCAGCCUACCCAGCAAUCCAUCCAGUUCAGCGAUGCUCGUAAGACGGGACUCCAUCCAAAUGCCGUGGCUUCCUACUCCUGUGCUCCCUCUAUUUCACCCAUCAGAUGGGAGCCCCCACCACUGAGAGGUCCAAGAUUGUCACGGUAAUUUCCCUGCUGAGCGGGCAGGCGUUGGAGUGGGCUACAGUAGUCUGGUAGACAGGAGAGGAAGAGCUGAGUUCCUACGAGAAGUUCAUGGCUCUGUUCAGAGUGUUCUUCAACCAUCCACUGGAGGGCAGAAAGGGAGGUGAGUGUCUAAUCCAACUCCGGCAGGGUGCCCAGCACCAAGAAAUCCUUCCCUUCCUCAUCAUCAAUGCACCCGUACACAAGUCACCCUCAGCCUCCCGUGGCUCCAACGUCAUGACCCCACCAUCUCCUGGUCGAGGAUGUCGGAAGACCUGAUUUCCCUUACCCUGUGGUUCAUCGUCAGUUGAGAGUCCUGUGGUUGCUCUCCAGCCCGACAUCCCAGAGGUUUACCAGGAUCUCCAGGAGGUUUUCUCCAAGACCUGCGCCACCUGUCUCCCUCGCCUGUCUCCCGUGCCAUUGACCUGCUUGCAGACUCUGCGCCUCCACACAGCCGUGUCUACCCUCUGUCGGUGGCUGAAACCAAGGCAUGGAGGAGUACAUCCAUGUGGCUUUCCAACAGGGUUUCAUUCGCUCAUCCAAAUUCCCUGCAUCGGGAGGCUUCUUCUUCGUGGCCAAGAAGGACAGAGGUCUACGUCCGUGCAUAAAUUACAGAGGCCUCAAUUCCAGCACCACCAAGUACCGCUACCAUCUCCCGUCGGUGCCAUCGAACAGCUCUGCGGGGCCCGUUUUCUUUACUAAACUGGUCAAUCUGAUCCGCAUGCGGGAGGGGGAUGAAUGAAAAAUGGACUUCAGCACGAUGUCUGGGCAUUACAAGAACUUGAUGUCUUAUGGAUUAGACAAUGCUCCGUCGGUGUUCCAGUCAUUCGUGAAUGAGGUGUUCUGGGACAUUUUCGGGCGCCCGGUGGUCAUGUAUAUCAACGACAUCGUGGUCUACUUGGACACCUUGGAGCAUCACAUCGCCCAUGUCCGGGUAGUCCUGGGACGCCUCCUGGAGAACCGCUUUUAUGUCAAAGCAGAGAAGUGCCAGUUCCAUCAGAUCGCUGUCUCCUUCCUGGGAUACCAGAUCAGCCCACAGGGAGUGGUCAUGGAGGAGAGUCAAGUCGAGGCAGUCAGGUCAUGGCCAGUCCCAACCACCAUAAACGGACUACAAAGGUUUUUGGGGUUUGCCAACUUCUACCGUCGCUUCAAUAAAAACUUCAGCUCCAUUGUCUCUCCUCAAAGGUGGUCCCCAUAAGUUGGUGUGGAGUCCUGCAGCUGAUGAGGCCUUCCACCUACUGAAGGGGCGUUUCACCUCCACGCCGUUGCUGAAACACCGAGAUCCUAGACUGCCCUUCGUGGUGGAGGUGGACGACUCAGAAGUGGGCGUGGGGGCCAUCCUGCCCCAACACCAUGGUAACCCACAGAAAUUGCAUCCAUGUGCAUACUACUCUAAGAAACUGUCUUCGACAAAGAGGAACUAUAACUCCGGCAACCGGGAGCUCCUGGCGGUGAAGUUGGCAUUAGAGGAGUGCAGACACUGGCUGGAGGUGGCCAAAGACCCCUUUCUUAUCCUCACCGACCAUCGGAACCUAACCUGUCAUAUUGCCCAUGUUCAAAGGCCACCAAAGCCGAUUCCCUGUCCCGUCUAUACGAUUCGGGAGAGGUUCCUGUCCUGAGUGCGCCCAUCAUUCCGCCCUCCCGAAUCGUUGCCCCCGUGCUUUGGGACAUAGACGUGGACAUCCAGCAGGCUCUGGAAAGGGAACCAGCGCCUGCUACCUGCCCUCCGGAGUGCAACUAUGUCCCCACGGAGGUCAUUGACGCACUGUUCCAGCAGGUCUUCCGGCACUAUGACCUUCCGGAGGACAUCGUCUCUGACCAUGGCCCCCAAUUCACGUCGCAG